GCUCGAAUUAUCCUGUUUUCCACCAAUCAUGACGUACUAAUGCACGGAACUGAAGACAGUGCGAUUGACUGAAGGGCCACACGCAAAUCGGUGCGCUAAGUAUCGCGAUUGUUACCAUAACUACGUUGUACAGGCUACUACGAUGCAUGGAUUUUGUAAUUGCACACGACACCAUCGUCAGUCUUAUGGCGUAUGUUGAACCACAGAGUCGCUUAGAUGUACCUAUAUAAGUGGACCGCCUCGCUACAAAUUGUAUCAUUCAGAAACGGCGGCAUUUGUUUACAAGUAAAUCCACCAGCUGAUAAAAGCCGUCCAUAUCUACUGAGCAGUUGAGAGUGUAUCAAUACAAAAAUAUCUUCGACAUGCCGUGCAAGUGCUGUGGUAAAGAAUGCAAAUGCACUACGUGCUGCGGUGUGGACAAACCGUGUGAACCAGGAUGCAACUGCAAGUGUGCAUGUAAAACGGGCAUGGAAGGCGAUCAUCCUGAGGGAUGCUGUAAGAAAUGAAUGUCAUCUACGAUGUGCAUCUUAAGAAUAUACUUUUUAAAUUAAAUUAUUGUACUCUUAUUAAUAAGACAUUAUAACUUAUGUUAUAGUAAAACUUAAA